rnacentral:rRNA from 1 species
GACGAACGCUGGCGGCGUGCUUAACACAUGCAAGUCGAACGGAAAGGCCCUGCUUUUGUGGGGUGCUCGAGUGGCGAACGGGUGAGUAACACGUGAGUAACCUGCCCUUGACUUUGGGAUAACUUCAGGAAACUGGGGCUAAUACCGGAUAGGAGCUCCUGCUGCAUGGUGGGGGUUGGAAAGUUUCGGCGGUUGGGGUUGGACUCGCGGCUUAUCAGCUUGUUGGUGGGGUAGUGGCUUACCCAGGCUUUGACGGGUAGCCGGCCUGAGAGGGUGACCGGCCACAUUGGGACUGGGAUACGGCCCAGACUCCUACGGGAGGCAGGAGCGGGGAAUAGUGCACAAUGGGCGGAAGCAGGAUGCAGCAACGCCGCGUGCGGGAUGACGGCCUUCGGGUUGUAACCCGCUUUCGCCUGUGACGAAGCGUGAGUGACGGUAAUGGGUAAAGAAGCACCGGCUAACUACGU